rnacentral:rRNA from 1 species
UUAAGUUAUUAAGGGCGCACGGUGGAUGCCUUGGCACUAGAAGCCGAUGAAGGACGUUACUAACGACGAUAUGCUUUGGGGAGCUGUAAGUAAGCUUUGAUCCAGAGAUUUCCGAAUGGGGAAACCCAGCAUGAGUUAUGUCAUGUUAUCGAUAUGUGAAUACAUAGCAUAUCAGAAGGCACACCCGGAGAACUGAAACAUCUUAGUACCCGGAGGAAGAGAAAGAAAAUUCGAUUCCCUUAGUAGCGGCGAGCGAAACGGGAAGAGCCCAAACCAACAAGCUUGCUUGUUGGGGUUGUAGGACACUCUAUACGGAGUUACAAAGGACGACAUUAGACGAAUCAUCUGGAAAGAUGAAUCAAAGAAGGUAAUAAUCCUGUAGUCGAAAAUGUUGUCUCUCUUGAGUGGAUCCUGAGUACGACGGAGCACGUGAAAUUCCGUCGGAAUCUGGGAGGACCAUCUCCUAAGGCUAAAUACUCUCUAGUGACCGAUAGUGAACCAGUACCGUGAGGGAAAGGUGAAAAGCACCCCGGAAGGGGAGUGAAAUAGAACCUGAAACCGUGUGCUUACAAGUAGUCAGAGCCCGUUAAUGGGUGAUGGCGUGCCUUUUGUAGAAUGAACCGGCGAGUUACGAUUUGAUGCAAGGUUAAGCAGUAAAUGUGGAGCCGUAGCGAAAGCGAGUCUGAAUAGGGCGUUUAGUAUUUGGUCGUAGACCCGAAACCAGGUGAUCUACCCUUGGUCAGGUUGAAGUUCAGGUAACACUGAAUGGAGGACCGAACCGACUUACGUUGAAAAGUGAGCGGAUGAACUGAGGGUAGCGGAGAAAUUCCAAUCGAACCUGGAGAUAGCUGGUUCUCUCCGAAAUAGCUUUAGGGCUAGCCUCAAGUGAUGAUUAUUGGAGGUAGAGCACUGUUUGGACGAGGGGCCCCUCUCGGGUUACCGAAUUCAGACAAACUCCGAAUGCCAAUUAAUUUAACUUGGGAGUCAGAACAUGGGUGAUAAGGUCCGUGUUCGAAAGGGAAACAGCCCAGACCACCAGCUAAGGUCCCAAAAUAUAUGUUAAGUGGAAAAGGAUGUGGCGUUGCCCAGACAACUAGGAUGUUGGCUUAGAAGCAGCCAUCAUUUAAAGAGUGCGUAAUAGCUCACUAGUCGAGUGACACUGCGCCGAAAAUGUACCGGGGCUAAACAUAUUACCGAAGCUGUGGAUUGUCCUUUGGACAAUGGUAGGAGAGCGUUCUAAGGGCGUUGAAGCAUGAUCGUAAGGACAUGUGGAGCGCUUAGAAGUGAGAAUGCCGGUGUGAGUAGCGAAAGACGGGUGAGAAUCCCGUCCACCGAUUGACUAAGGUUUCCAGAGGAAGGCUCGUCCGCUCUGGGUUAGUCGGGUCCUAAGCUGAGGCCGACAGGCGUAGGCGAUGGAUAACAGGUUGAUAUUCCUGUACCACCUAUAAUCGUUUUAAUCGAUGGGGGGACGCAGUAGGAUAGGCGAAGCGUGCGAUUGGAUUGCACGUCUAAGCAGUAAGGCUGAGUAUUAGGCAAAUCCGGUACUCGUUAAGGCUGAGCUGUGAUGGGGAGAAGACAUUGUGUCUUCGAGUCGUUGAUUUCACACUGCCGAGAAAAGCCUCUAGAUAGAAAAUAGGUGCCCGUACCGCAAACCGACACAGGUAGUCAAGAUGAGAAUUCUAAGGUGAGCGAGCGAACUCUCGUUAAGGAACUCGGCAAAAUGACCCCGUAACUUCGGGAGAAGGGGUGCUCUUUAGGGUUAACGCCCAGAAGAGCCGCAGUGAAUAGGCCCAAGCGACUGUUUAUCAAAAACACAGGUCUCUGCUAAACCGUAAGGUGAUGUAUAGGGGCUGACGCCUGCCCGGUGCUGGAAGGUUAAGAGGAGUGGUUAGCUUCUGCGAAGCUACGAAUCGAAGCCCCAGUAAACGGCGGCCGUAACUAUAACGGUCCUAAGGUAGCGAAAUUCCUUGUCGGGUAAGUUCCGACCCGCACGAAAGGCGUAACGAUUUGGGCACUGUCUCAACGAGAGACUCGGUGAAAUCAUAGUACCUGUGAAGAUGCAGGUUACCCGCGACAGGACGGAAAGACCCCGUGGAGCUUUACUGUAGCCUGAUAUUGAAAUUCGGCACAGCUUGUACAGGAUAGGUAGGAGCCUUUGAAACGUGAGCGCUAGCUUACGUGGAGGCGCUGGUGGGAUACUACCCUAGCUGUGUUGGCUUUCUAACCCGCACCACUUAUCGUGGUGGGAGACAGUGUCAGGCGGGCAGUUUGACUGGGGCGGUCGCCUCCUAAAAGGUAACGGAGGCGCUCAAAGGUUCCUUCAGAAUGGUUGGAAAUCAUUCAUAGAGUGUAAAGGCAUAAGGGAGCUUGACUGCGAGACCUACAAGUCGAGCAGGGUCGAAAGACGGACUUAGUGAUCCGGUGGUUCCGCAUGGAAGGGCCAUCGCUCAACGGAUAAAAGCUACCCCGGGGAUAACAGGCUUAUCUCCCCCAAGAGUUCACAUCGACGGGGAGGUUUGGCACCUCGAUGUCGGCUCAUCGCAUCCUGGGGCUGUAGUCGGUCCCAAGGGUUGGGCUGUUCGCCCAUUAAAGCGGUACGCGAGCUGGGUUCAGAACGUCGUGAGACAGUUCGGUCCCUAUCCGUCGUGGGCGUAGGAAAUUUGAGAGGAGCUGUCCUUAGUACGAGAGGACCGGGAUGGACAUACCUCUGGUGUACCAGUUGUCGUGCCAACGGCAUAGCUGGGUAGCUAUGUGUGGACGGGAUAAGUGCUGAAAGCAUCUAAGCAUGAAGCCCCCCUCAAGAUGAGAUUUCCCAACUUCGGUUAUAAGAUCCCUCAAAGAUGAUGAGGUUAAUAGGUUCGAGGUGGAAGCAUGGUGACAUGUGGAGCUGACGAAUACUAAUCGAUCGAAGACUUAAUCAA